AUCACUAUCGCUGUAAGCCCG
rnacentral:snRNA from 1 species